rfam:Asian citrus Psyllid, Diaphorina citri - Florida Strain, whole genome shotgun sequence.
GCCUAGUUAGCUUAGUUGGUAGUGCGUCUGCCUUGUAAGCGCUAGGCCGCGGAUUCAAUUCCCGCCCGGGGCG